UCCCGCGCCUUCCCCGCCGGCCCCUGCUCCCGCGCCUUCCCCGCAGCUCUGCUUUCUUCCGCGCCUCCUCCGAGUAAACUGCUCAUCUCCACGGAUGCGGCGAAUCUGAUGUGGACUCAUCCCUGUAUCAACCAAGAAAACAUCAUUCCCUGGAGCAGACGGCUCUUCACCGCCUAUCGGGAAGAAAUCUUUAAACCACUGUAAGCAAGACAAAGAACAUCAGGCCACACCAGCAUACCUUCACCGUCCCUGGCUGCUAGCAGUACUCUCGAGUGACGGCAUGGAUUCCUGCUGGACAUGCAAAGCAGGCCCAGACAACACACCACGCAGACGGGCAGCGGGUCCUGCCAUAGAACAGCUACUAGCUUCUUAAAACUAUGUAGUAAAGAACUGAGAUUAAUGUUUUCCUGAGUUAAGACUAAAACAAAAAGGGUGUGUUGAUAUCGGAAGAGCACUCUUAUACUUAACCAAUCUAUACUUCUAAUCAUAGUUAUAUAUAAAUUUUAUAUUAAAAAACUUUGAAUCAUUUAUUUAAUAAAUAUCAAGUCUUAAUAAUAAAAAUACUAAAAUUAUAGCUAUAUAUGUCAUUUUAUUUUGCAUUUGUCAUAUAUUCUUCCUCUCAUAUUUUUUAGGACAUCUAAUCAAGUUAUUUAGCAGGUUGUUCAAUACCAGACUGACAAGCACCAUUGACUAUGCUCACACUACUCUAGUUCGCUGACCAGUCUUCCUUGGGUUAGGGCUACAGACUCCUCAAGAGCCAAUGACAUAUUUUUAGACAUAUGAGAAUUCUCUAUAAUAAUUUUAAAAUUUUGUAUUUACACUUUCGUAAACUAAAAAAAAUCAACAUUAGCGAUAACCUGGAUAGUCUGGUGGCCGCUUUAUAAUAAUGACACGUUCACUUAUGGUUACAAUUUUAUCAAUGCCAAGAAGAAUGACUUUAAUUGUCUCAAGAAUAAACAAAGCACAGGAGUAUACUUGAAAUGAGAAUGAUGCUUCUCAGAAAAAUAAAGACCAAUUAACACUGUGUAAAAAAAAUGAAGAGAUAAGACUCAAAAUACAAAAAGAACAUUAAGAAAAGAAAGGAAAUAGUCAAAUAAAUGAAACUGAAGUAAAGAAAGUGAAAAACAAAGAACAGAGGCUUCUAAUUAGGAUGUAUAAAGCUGGAAAAAGUUUGGCUCCCACCCUGACGAGCGGAAUAAAUUACAAAAUUACAAAAAUUACAAGCAGAAUAAAUUACAAAAUUACAAAAGCUGGAAAAAGUUUGGCUCCCACCCUGACAAGCGGAAUAAAUUACAAAACCAUCAUUUUCUUGAAUGCAUAAGAGAACCAAGGUUGUACAACAGCAAACAAGACUGUAAUAUACGGAAAGACAGCUGCCUCCAAGAAGAUGAAGAGCACAGCUUCACUUGGGGCAGGGCUUGGGAAGAAAACAGGGCCCCCAAACAAGCAGGAAAGAGCAUAUGCUUAAAUAUUUCAUGAAUUGCUAAAGCCAAUGAGUUGCCAGUGCCACAGACAUAAGCAGGUUUGCAUGCUUGCAGGCUCUUCCACCAGGUGCUCACAAGACAGGAGGCGGGGAAAGACAUCAAGGAAAGCUCCUAACUAUGGUGAAGGCCUGGAGGAGGGGGGAAGCUGCCAAGAGGAAAAGCACAAAGCACCACCUGGGCCUCCCCUUUUAAAGAACUAAAGCCUUCAACAGCUGGAGGAAGGGCAGCAAAUCCUGUUGACCAGGGUAGAAAUGAGGACCCAGUGCAGAUGUAGGAAAGGAAAAAGGAAAAAUCCGCUAUUCAUGGAGGGGCAGAAAACCACUCUAGAUCAGGACCACUAGUGGCCCCCUAGUCCUCAGGGAGAGAAGGACCAUGCAAGACCCACUAAAGACACAAGGCAGAAUUUGGCUGCCACGGCAGAAGGGCAUUCACCGAGAAAGUGCCACACCCAAGACCCUGUGAAAGAAUGAGGCUGGACCAGAGUCAAAGAGAAUCAAUCCUGCUCCUUCCCACUAGGCUGGGAUGCCCCAAAUAACAACCAACAGAAGCCGGUACCACUUGGGGAAGUGCAAGAACAUGUAGAGAAACUAGCUCUGUGGCAGGUGCAAAGUGCUAAGCUGAUAAUGGGGAAAGAAUAACUGGGGAACCACUCCCUACUAUAAGUGCAAGAUAAUACUAGAAAAAUCUGAAACCAUUGGUGACCUGAAGGUAACUACAGCAAUAAUAAAACCUGAAUCCAACUUGUCUGCAAAGGCUGACUCUCUCCCACUCAUGGCUCACCCUUAGUAAAGGUCUAGAAGAGGCAAGCCCUUUUCGAGGUACAAACACUGUUUACCCUAAUCUGUAUGGUUCUGUAUGCAAUGUUCAUCAUUCAAGCAAAAAUUACCAGACAGCCAAAAAAACAAGAAAAGCAACCCAUUAUUUAAAAACAAAGCAAUCAAUAGAACCAAAUUAGCUCAUCUGCUUAGAGAGUGUGAGGCUAAUGAGGACAGGUAUAGAGUCUGAACGUCUGACAAGAAGGUCACCUUUGCCUUGUUCUUAGCCACUGACUAUCCC